rnacentral:rRNA from 1 species
AGUGAACGCUGGCGGUAGGCCUAACACAUGCAAGUCGAACGGCAGCACAGUAAGAGCUUGCUCUUACGGGUGGCGAGUGGCGGACGGGUGAGGAAUACAUCGGAAUCUACUUUUUCGUGGGGGAUAACGUAGGGAAACUUACGCUAAUACCGCAUACGACCUACGGGUGAAAGCAGGGGAUCUUCGGACCUUGCGCGAUUGAAUGAGCCGAUGUCGGAUUAGCUAGUUGGCGGGGGAAAGGCCCACCAAGGCGACGAUCCGUAGCUGGUCUGAGAGGAUGAUCAGCCACACUGGAACUGAGACACGGUCCAGACUCCUACGGGAGGCAGCGGUGGGGAAUAUUGGACAAUGGGCGCAAUCCUGAUCCAGCCAUACCGCGUGGGUGAAGAAGGCCUUCGGGUUGUAAAGCCCUUUUGUUGGGAAAGAAAAGCAGCAGGUUAAUACCCCGCUGUUCUGACGGUACCCAAAGAAUAAGCACCGGCUAACUUCGU